AGCAAUACUCUUCCAGUCACUAAAUGGGACAUUAGCGUUCGAAACCUGUGAAUCAAGCUGUGAGAGAAUAACCCUUUCACUAUAUCCCAUUCCUGGUGGAUAUUUAUGUGAAAUUCUGGCACUAAAUUGGUUUUGUUCUUUAAUAUUCUACAAUUCUGUUCUAGCUUUUAUACGCUUCUCACACAUGAAUUGAUUGGAAAAAAUGGAUUUGGAAGUGCGACUUGUGGUUGUGGACUUGGAAGCAAGAUUGGAAAAAAUAGGAUUUUUGGCUCAUAUGCGCACUUGUUCUGCGCGCCUUGGGUUUCGCGGGACACAUAUAUAUAUUCAUGCUGCUAAUCCCUGAAACCGAAAAGCCACCAAGAGUUGUUACAAAUGAGGACCCUUCUUCUGAAUCGACUCCAAACCCCUUUUACUACUCGCUCCUCAAGUUCAAGUCCUUUUCUCCCUUUCUUGCUCUCGUCCCGACGGAAUGCAGUGUCAGCACCAAAAGCUGAGGAUGAAGCAGAAAGAGACACUUCCACCAGGUUUUAAUUUUACCUUUUCGAUAUUUUCUGUGGAUCUUCGAUCUGUUUCAACUUUCAAGUGCUGAAAUGGAAAGCUAUGAAGCAUCAAUAAUUCAAAACAGAAAUGUAUUGUGUUUGACAUGCAUACAACGCUUGUACAUAUUGUCAUCGUUGGGCUGGUGGACCUGCUUUUGGUGUGUUCAGCCUUCUUGCUUAACAGUUACAUUUUUGCUAUGAAUACAAUUAAUAGCUUUCUUUUGGAUAAAAAAAAAAUAUAUUAGUGGCAAAAAAAAUCAUUUAAU